UAUAUUUUUAUGUAUGAUGAAUUAAUCUGAGAAAUGGAAACAUUUUCUGAAAAACACUGAAGAUUUUUUAAUUGAAAAUAGGAAUGAAUGUAGAUUUGUACUGAAUAUAGUAACUUCCUUACCAGAUCAGAUCAGUGGUCCACCUAGCUCAGUAUCCAAUAUUCCAGACAGUGACUAAUAACAGAUGCUUCACAAAAAGUGGCAAGAAACCCUUAAGUGGACAAUUAUGGCAUAAUCCUCCCAAUCUUCCUAACUCCCAUCGCUUAGUGGUUGGCUCAAGCCCUGAACGGCCAGAGUUUGUUCCUUUUAUUUUAAAAAAACCACACUUACUAUUAUGUAACUGGAUAUUGUCACCAAAGAAAAUUUACCCCUGUGAAGAAGCCCACUAUCCCACUUAAAUCUGCAAAAUAGUGUUUCUUCUAUUAUCUGUAGAAAUAGCUGAUCCCUUUAGAAUCUUCAUCACCUCAAACAUGUCUUGUGGCAAUGAGCACCAAUGUUGGUUAAAAUUUAGGCAUGGUGUAAAAUAAGUUAUUUCCUUGUAUCAGCUUCAUAAUUGUUGCCUUUUGGUGCCACUGACUGUCCUUUGGUUCUUGUUUCAUGAAAUGGGGUAAAUAGAACCAAAGCAAAAAUACCAUAAGAAAUAAAAUAAUAGGAAGAGAAAAGGGAAAUAAGUGGGUUGCAGGAACAAGGAAGAAAGAGCAUUGCAUUUUUAACUCCAUUUGCUUUAUACAGUAUUUUGAAUCUGAGAUGUAAUGGUGAUUUGUAUGUUUCUAAAUGCCAACACAAUCAGAUUUUUUUUUCUUUGUCUUUGGCAGGUUGGAAAGAGUAAAACACUAUUUCUAAAUCUGGAUCCCUUUUGAGUGCUAUAGCUUAUCCUCAGUUGUUUUGUUAACAGAUAUGACAAGCUUUAUGACAUGGGAAAGUGGCCAGGGAGAGAUUGGACAGAGAGAGUCACCAGGACCAUCAUCACCUCAGUGAGAGGGAACAAGCCAUGACUGCUACUCCCCAGCUAAGAGCUCUAGGCUUUCUGCAGAUGCUUGGCUGCUGGCUCCCAGCCAACCUGGAAGCAAUGCCAUGUCAACAGCAUAAUCGUGACAGAGGGGAAAAAACAGCCAAGAAACUUUAGCUCCACCCUGUACAGGAUUCAGCAUGAUGGCUGACUGCAUAACCAGGAAUCUAAAACCUGACUGAGUUCACAGCCCAGUCUCUCCUUCAUAUCUGUGGCUGGAUCUUUGUUGAAACAACACAAAAGCAUUACAAGAUUGAGAACAAACACAUACAAACACAAAGCUCAGCAUGAUUCAUCACUAGGACUCAAGGCUUUGCAUAUGGAUUAAGUGAGUUAGAAGAGAUUUUAAUGAUGUUUCUGCUAAAACGAUACUGACUUCACUACUUCAACCAAGCUUCACAAUCAUCAUCGCUGUGUACCAGUAUUAAAUUGUUUGUUUAAAACUUA